AGGAACCUGCAUCACCCAAGGAGAGAGCAGAACUGAAUUCCCGUGACUGGCAUUUGCUACCUUGUUUUUCUUCUGGGAAUUUUAUCUUUAGUGCCCCUUGUAGCAGAUUGGAAAUGUCGAUGUGAAAAAUAAAUAUUUUCAGUCUUGUUUUGGAGGAGGACUAACUUGGUGUGUUGUGUGAGGGUGAGGUAGCGGGCAGGGAGAGGAGAUGCCAAGAAAUCAAGAGAAAAUUUAAUGCUACCAGGGAUCCUGCCACAAGGAAUAAAACACCAUGCAACCCUAGGACAAUGUACAUAGUUGUAUAUUCUAGUUAUGGGUCCUUCUAGUUGUGGCAUGUGGGACACCCCCUCAACGUGGCCUGACAAGUGGUGCCGUGUCCACACCCAGUAUCCAAACCAGCUAAACCCUGAGCUGCCUCAGUGGAGCACUCGAACUUAACCACUCGGCCACGGGGCCAGCCCCUCCUUUUAUUUUGUAAAAUAUUUUAAUUGUGAUUAUUUUAAUAUUACAAUAGUGGUUAUGAAAUAAAAUAACAAAACUAUUUUGUUAAUAAAGAAGAAUUGUGAUUAAUAAAACACAGUCGUUUAUUUUCAAGUAUGUUGAGUCCACUAGUACAGGUCAAUGAUGUAUUUGGGAGGUU
rnacentral:lncRNA from 1 species